GGGACACCACCACAGAGUGGCUUGAUGACUAGUGUAGGUCUGCGCCCAGGAUCUGAACCCGCAAACCUGGGCCGCCUAAAUGGAGUGUGCUGAAAUCCCGCCUAAACGGAGUGUGCUGAAAUCAACCGCUACGCCACCCGGCCAGCCCCUCAAGGGAGAAGCGAGACCUGCAGGAUCUUGGUGGGUGAAGGAAGAGCAGACUGGCUCAGUGGAUCACCCUUCACAUGUAACUCGACUCUGCCUUAACGUAGAGGUUUCCAGGUGACUGUGUUGCUGCUAUUGCAGGGAUCACACCUUCAGGACAACUGGUGGUAUAUUGAUAAACCAGACCUCUGGGCAGGUGGACCUCAUCCAAUCAGUCCGAAGGCUUGAAAAGAAUAAAAGGAUGACCUUUCCUGAGCAAGAGAGAAUUCUCCAGCAGGCUGCCUUCAGACUUCAUCUGCAACCUCAGCUCUUCCUGGUUCUACAGCAGACUGCCUUUGAAUUCAAACUGCAACUCUUCCUUGAGUCUGCAGCCUGCCAGACUCCCCCAUCAGAUUUUGGACUGGCCAAGC